GGCUGCGUGUGUGUGUGUGACACUGCGUGUGCAACAGGUGUGCGUGUCACAGGUGUGCGUGUGACAUGUGCGUGUGCAAGGCUGUAUGGCCAUGUGACACUGCGUGUGCAACGUGUGUGUGUGUGACAUAUGCGUGCCACGCUUGUGCGUGUGCAAGGCUGCGUUGUGCACAGGUGUGACCCCCCCCCACACGUGGCACACGUGUCACACGCGUGUCCCCAGGGCGCCAUGGGGCAGUGUGGGGCAGCGUGGAGUGACUAUGGGGCAGCUGUGGGGCAGUGUGGGUCUCUAUGGGGCAGUGUGGGGCAAUGUGGGUUUCUAUGGGGCAGUGUGGGGCCGCUGUGGGGCAGCUAUGGGGCAGUGUGGAGUGACUGUGGGUCAGUGUGGGGCAGCUGUGGGGCAGUGUGGGUCUCUAUGGGGCAGUGUGGGGCAGCUAUGGGGCAAUGUGGGUCAGUGUGGGACAGCUAUGGGGCAGUAUGGGGCAGCUGUGGGUCAGUGUGGGGCAGCUAUGGGGCAAUGUGGGUCUCUAUGGCUCUCUGUGGGAUGACGUGGGGCAGUGUG
rnacentral:lncRNA from 1 species